CUCUCUGGCUGUAAGACCAGAAACUCUACCCACAUGCUGUUUAAAUCGUCUGUAUGUGAAGGGCAGCCAAUCAGAAGAAAGCGGGCUUGUUUUGGACAGAGGAUGAACUGAGGAGCUGCACCAAAGAAUGUUGUUCCCAGCUUCUGAUGACUGCUUCCAGCAGGAUAACACACCAUGUCACAAAAUCAUCUCAAACUGGUGUCUGGAACAUGACGAAACUGAGGCCCCCACCUGUGUCAUGGAACUGCUCCACCCCUUUUCUCCAAUCUGGGGUUCUCAGGUCCUCAGAUAGAGGCCUUCUCAUGAUCAGAAAAUUAAAAAGGGAUUCUGCCUUCUCUGUAUUUGCUCCUUUGACUCUUGGCAUCCUUUAAAAAGCAGCUCAAAACUCAUCUGUUCAAACAGGCAUUUAAGUGUUUGUAAUUUGUACUGUUAUGUUUGGUUCCUGUCCGUCCACUUUGCCUUUGGCAUGGGCAGAUUUGUAUUUGUUUACCUAUGAAAA